rnacentral:rRNA from 1 species
AGUGAACGCUGGCGGUAGGCCUAACACAUGCAAGUCGAACGGCAGCACAGUAAGAGCUUGCUCUUACGGGUGGCGAGUGGCGGACGGGUUAGGAAUACAUCGGAAUCUACUUUUUCGUGGGGGAUAACGUAGGGAAACUUACGCUAAUACCGCAUACGACCUACGGGUGAAAGCAGGGGAUCUUCGGACCUUGCGCGAUUGAAUGAGCCGAUGUCGGAUUAGCUAGUUGGCGGGGUAAAGGCCCACCAAGGCGACGAUCCGUAGCUGGUCUGAGAGGAUGAUCAGCCACACUGGAACUGAAACACGGUCCAGACUCCUACGGGAGGCAGCAGUGGGGAAUAUUGGACAAUGGGCGCAAGCCUGAUCCAGCCAUACCGCGUGGGUGAAGAAGGCCUUCGGGUUGUAAAGCCCUUUUGUUGGGAAAGAAAAGCAGCAGGUUAAUACCCCGCUGUUCUGACGGUACCCAAAGAAUAAGCACCGGCUAACUUCGUG